rnacentral:rRNA from 1 species
CUGGCGGCGUGCUUAACACAUGCAAGUCGAACGGAAAGGCCCUGCUUUUGUGGGGUGCUCGAGUGGCGAACGGGUGAGUAACACGUGAGUAACCUGCCCUUGACUUUGGGAUAACUUCAGGAAACUGGGGCUAAUACCGGAUAGGAGCUCCUGCUGCAUGGUGGGGGUUGGAAAGUUUCGGCGGUUGGGGAUGGACUCGCGGCUUAUCAGCUUGUUGGUGGGGUAGUGGCUUACCAAGGCUUUGACGGGUAGCCGGCCUGAGAGGGUGACCGGCCACAUUGGGACUGAGAUACGGCCCAGACUCCUACGGGAGGCAGCAGUGGGGAAUAUUGCACAAUGGGCGGAAGCCUGAUGCAGCAACGCCGCGUGCGGGAUGACGGCCUUCGGGUUGUAAACCGCUUUCGCCUGUGACGAAGCGUGAGUGACGGUAAUGGGUAAAGAAGCACCGGCUAACUACGUGCCAUCAGCCGCGGUGAUACGUAGGGUGCGAGCGUUGUCCGGAUUUAUUGGGCGUAAAGGGCUCGUAGGUGGUUGAUCGCGUCGGAAGUGUAAUCUUGGGGCUUAACCCUGAGCGUGCUUUCGAUACGGGUUGACUUGAGGAAGGUAGGGGAGAAUGGAAUUCUGGGUGGAGCGGUGGAAUGCGCAGAUAUCAGGAGGAACACCAGUGGCGAAGGCGGUUCUCUGGGCCUUUCCUGACGCUGAGGAGCGAAAGCGUGGGGAGCGAACAGGCUUAGAUACCCUGGUAGUCCACGCUGUAAACGGUGGGUACUAGGUGUGGGGUCCAUUCCACGGGUUCCGUGCCGUAGCUAACGCUUUAAGUACCCCGCCUGGGGAGUACGGCCGCAAGGCUAAAACUCAAAGGAAUUGACGGGGCCCCGCACAAGCGGCGGAGCAUGCGGAUUAAUUCGAUGCAACGCGUAGAACCUUACCUGGGUUUGACAUGGAUCGGGAGUGCUCAGAGAUGGGUGUGCCUCUUUUGGGGUCGGUUCACAGGUGGUGCAUGGCUGUCGUCAGCUCGUGUCGUGAGAUGUUGGGUUAAGUCCCGCAACGAGCGCAACCCUUGUUCACUGUUGCCAGCACGUUAUGGUGGGGACUCAGUGGAGACCGCCGGGGUCAACUCGGAGGAAGGUGGGGAUGACGUCAAGUCAUCAUGCCCCUUAUGUCCAGGGCUUCACGCAUGCUACAAUGGCUGGUACAGAGAGUGGCGAGCCUGUGAGGGUGAGCGAAUCUCGGAAAGCCGGUCUCAGUUCGGAUUGGGGUCUGCAACUCGACCUCAUGAAGUCGGAGUCGCUAGUAAUCGCAGAUCAGCAACGCUGCGGUGAAUACGUUCCCGGGGCUUGUACACACCGCCCGUCAAGUCAUGAAAGUUGGUAACACCCGAAGCCGGUGGCCUAACCGUUGUGGGGGAGCCGUCGAAGGUGGGACUG